rnacentral:rRNA from 1 species
UAACGCGUGGGAAUCUGCCCAUAGGUACGGAAUAACUCAGGGAAACUUGAGCUAAUACCGUAUAAUGACUCCGGUCCAAAGAUUUAUCGCCUGAGGAUGAGCCCGCGUCGGAUUAGCUAGUUGGUGAGGUAAGAGCUCACCAAGGCGACGAUCCGUAGCUGGUCUGAGAGGAUGAUCAGCCACACUGGGACUGAGACACGGCCCAGACUCCUACGGGAGGCAGCAGUGGGGAAUAUUGGACAAUGGGCGAAAGCCUGAUCCAGCAAUGCCGCGUGAGUGAUGAAGGCCUUAGGGUUGU